CACGGUCCAGACUCCUACGGGAGGCAGCAGUGGGGAAUAUUGCACAAUGGGCGCAAGCCUGAUGCAGCCAUGCCGCGUGUAUGAAGAAGGCCUUCGGGUUGUAAAGUACUUUCAGCGGGGAGGAAGGUGUUGUGGUUAAUAACCUCAGCAAUUGACGUUACCCGCAGAAGAAGCACCGGCUAACUCCGUGCCAGCAGCCGCGGUAAUACGGAGGGUGCAAGCGUUAAUCGGAAUUACUGGGCGUAAAGCGCACGCAGGCGGUCUGUCAAGUCGGAUGUGAAAUCCCCGG
rnacentral:rRNA from 1 species